UUCACAAAACAGAAAAGGAAUAAAAUACAAAGAACUACAAAGAAGACAUUAAAUGCAACAUCAGGGAAUGAAAUUGUUUCUGCUUCAAAAGAAGUACCUAUGAUGAAUGUGGCAAUUACUGUGAACAGACAAGGCAACAAAUGAAGGACUUGGAGAAUGGUGCAAGUAGACACUCAUGACAGAUGUUAUAAGAAUGCCAAGGGACAGAUUGCCAGACAAUAUGAAAAGAAUCCCAAGAAAUCACUGAGAAGUAAACAGAAUACAAAAAAGAAGAGAACAAGAGAGAAAUAAAAACUGGCAAUAUUCUAGUAUAUCCUUCCAGGACGACUUCUUCUGACACCAUGAUAUCACAGGAUUUUUAAAGAUUGGAAGACCUUUUCUAUUUAAU